rnacentral:lncRNA from 1 species
UGGGUGAUAAUUUUUGCUUCAGUUGUCUGAGAGAGUUUGGAUGGGUUUGGAAGUCUGUAUAAGUGGAUGAGAGAGUAGGUAGUUGGGAUUGGGUUGAUAGGAGAUCAUGCCUUAAUUUGAGGGAUUUUGGUUUCUUUUUAUUUUAUUUUAUUUUUAUUUUUUCUUUCUUUUCUCUCUCUUCCUAAGGAAAAAUUUUGACGUCAGUUUCUCCAUUCUUUCUGGCGUUUUCUUCUUGCUCUCCUUCUCUACACCUUUGAUUCUUUCUCUCGUUUUCCUUCCUUUCAAAUCUGUUUACAUCUUUUGUUCUUCACGUUGCACUCUGGAACUUGGCAUUUUUAUC